rnacentral:rRNA from 1 species
CAGCCGCGGUAAUACGUAGGUGGCAAGCGUUAUCCGGAAUUAUUGGGCGUAAAGCGCGCGCAGGUGGUUUCUUAAGUCUGAUGUGAAAGCCCACGGCUCAACCGUGGAGGGUCAUUGGAAACUGGGAGACUUGAGUGCAGAAGAGGAAAGUGGAAUUCCAUGUGUAGCGGUGAAAUGCGUAGAGAUAUGGAGGAACACCAGUGGCGAAGGCGACUUUCUGGUCUGUAACUGACACUGAGGCGCGAAAGCGUGGGGAGCAAACAGGAUUAGAUACCCUGGUAGUCCACGCCGUAAACGAUGAGUGCUAAGUGUUAGAGGGUUUCCGCCCUUUAGUGCUGAAGUUAACGCAUUAAGCACUCCGCCUGGGGAGUACGGCCGCAAGGCUGAAACUCAAAGGAAUUGACGGGGGCCCGCACAAGCGGUGGAGCAUGUGU